AAUCCUCCACCCCACCACACCACUAGCAUUUUGACGGAAACAUAAAGAUUCUGUGGAUGAAUAAUUCAGAAACGUUCCAGUUGGAUGGACUGAUUCAGGGUCUCUCAUGAUGCUGCAGCCAAGGUAAAAAUAAAGAGAUAGAAUAUGGACACUUGGGAAAUAAUAAGAAAAGUGAGACAGCACUGCUACUGAUUUAAAGUCAGAAAAAGACCACUCCUGGGAGAAACACAAGUUACAUGGUAUUGCUCUUCUCACAUGAACCAUCUCCACAACCAACGUGCCCUGAAUCCCAGUGCUUGGCCAACCCCAUCACUAGUAAUCAACCAUCAUCCCAAGAAGCGAACAUAAUCAGAAGCUAAAUCAAAUAAAUAUGUCUUACUCUC
ensembl:lncRNA novel transcript